CCUACCAUUGCUUCUUCCUGUGGGUCAACGGUGUCUCCUUCGGUUCUAUCACCUUACACCGGAACUGUGACAAGCCUUCACAGCCUCCGUGAAGAACUGCCCUGAAGAAUUCUGCUUGUGGGUGUCGGCUUCGCCACUUGCUGAGGAGGUCUGUCCUGCUCUUCGGACUUCAGACUUGCUUUGCCAGACUAUCCAAACAUGAUACAUCAUAUGUCAUUAAGAACUUUCCUUAGCCCAUGAGAGAAAAAGAUCCUUAUGUGCAUCCUGGAAAACAUCUUAGAGACGGGGAAAACUCCGCAGGAGACCUAACUCAAAGGAGUGUUGACAACAGUGACCCCAUCUUUGGCCCUCCGUCUUGUUCUCCCCGCUGGUGCACCAGUUUGGAUGACAACCGUGUGACCUCACCACCAUGCCCCUUGCUCUAUAAAGCUGGGGCUUAAAGUGCAGAUGGGACCAGAGAAUAUGGGAUGGGGAAUAGUGGCCGACAACAGCUGUGUGGUGCCCUGUAUUGUCCUUCUAUCUACCCACCUACCUAAUUUCUCCUGUCAGUAAGUUAUCCUGAAGAGAACUCAGUGUAAAUGGUAUGGAGUAACUUACUUCAUUUUUCAGUGUUUAGGUGCCAUCUCAGUCUGGAGGACACAUUACUGACACUCCUCCACUUUCUAACAAUGUCUUACUCAAGCUUUGUGCUUUGAACACCCAAUAGGACCACUGAUCAGGGAUUUUGUUGCCAUAUUUACAAAGUAACACUUCAGUUGAAGGGUCUUAGAGUGUGCUGUGGGUAUAAUCCAAGAAUGAGUCAAUGUAAGGAGAAUCUUUUUGGAGUAACUAUGAAUUGGAUUUGUUUAGGAUUUGCUUCUGGAGUGUUCUGCACUCUCUAGUACCUAGAAGACCACUUUCCCUUCUGAGCCUGUACACUAUGGAAUGGUGCCUAAUAUAUGAACAAAACUGGAAAUAAAAACCACAGCAAAGCCUUUAA